rnacentral:tRNA from 1 species
GCCGGGGUAGCUAAGUGGACCAAAGCGCCGGCCUUGAGAGCCGGUGGUGCUUAUGCACCGCGUGGGUUCGAAUCCCACCCCCGGCG